UACGGAGGGAGCAAGCGUUACUCGGAAUUACUGGGCGUAAAGGGCGCGUAGGCGGCCUCCGCAAGUCAGUUGUGAAAUCUCCGAGCUUAACUCGGAAAGGUCAACUGAUACUGCGGGGCUAGAGUGCGGAAGGGGCAACUGGAAUUCUUGGUGUAGCGGUGAAAUGCGUAGAUAUCAAGAGGAACACCUGCGGCGAAGGCGGGUUGCUGGGCCGACACUGACGCUGAGGCGCGAAAGCUAGGGGAGCGAACGGG
rnacentral:rRNA from 1 species